AUACCUUUCUCGGCCUUUUGGCUAAGAUCAAGUGUAGUACCUGUUCUUAUCAAUUUAAUAUAUGAUAUGUGGGUCAUUGACUCACACGAUAUUGACUCAAUUUUUUAAGGGGGAAGGCUCAUAAUAGUAGCUUGCUACUUGGGCCUUCGUGUGUCACCUUUGGUGUUGCACUACAACCUUGGCCUUGUGCACUCCAC